rfam:Lysinibacillus sp. F5 Contig62, whole genome shotgun sequence.
CUCUUAUCAAGAGCGGCGGAGGGAUAGGCCCUAUGAUGCCCAGCAACCAGUAAGUGAUGAACUUACUAAGGUGCUAAUUCCUACAGAUUCUUACUUGGAUCUGGCAGAUAAGGG